GCAUCGGAAUCUUUCCUGGUCCUUGCUGUGAGGUGCAGGCCCAGGGACACAGGAUGCUAAAGAAACGCUGAGCAAAUCCAGGCAGGUUUUAUGUUCCUCUAUGCAAGACUUGUCUCUACGCCUCUGCAACAUGA
rnacentral:snoRNA from 1 species